GACGUAGGGGGCCAGCGUUGUUCGGAAUUACUGGGUGUAAAGGGUUCGUAGGCGGUGCGGCAAGUUGGGAGUGAAAUCUCUGGGCUUAACCCAGAGGCUGCUUCCAAAACUGCUGUGCUUGAGUGUGGGAGAGGCGCGUGGAAUUGCAGGUGUAGCGGUGAAAUGCGUAGAUAUCUGCAGGAACACCCGUGGCGAAAGCGGCGCGCUGGACCACUACUGACGCUGAGGCGCGAAAGCUAGGGGAGCAAACAGG
rnacentral:rRNA from 1 species